rnacentral:lncRNA from 1 species
CUGAUGCUUGUUUGCUAGCAUAGAUUAAGUUUGUGCUAGCGCUUCGCUGUGGAAAAUGAUGAUAAUGUGACAGAUAUAUUGCGAAAGUGUCUUGAAGCUAUUUCAGAACAACUUAUCGAUUGAGGUAUAUCAUAAGAAAUAUUAACAAUCACAUUUACUACAACUUUAUCAUUAAAAUUUCGUUGUAUUGAUUUUUAUAGAGAAGAAAUCAUUUACUAUAAUUCAAGUGGUUUGGUGAUAGAAGAUGGUGGAUAUCUUAUAUCAGAUAAAGAUAAUUGUAUAGGAAUCUCUAAAAUUAAAUGAUCCUUUCUUGCAAAUCCAGAAAUUUAUCUGAGUCUUAUUCCUAGAAAUUGGAUUGAAAAUUACAAAUGGAUUAUUUGGAAACUAGUACCAUGGAUUUAAAUUUAAUUUUAUUUGCAUAUCUAGGUCAUGUUUAAGAAGGAUAUUGGAAAAAGAUGAUUGUGCAUCCAAACGAAUGGUUUUAUGUGUAUCAUCUAUUACUGAGUCCAGAGAUGACAAAAAUAAAGAAUCUAGUACAAUAGUAUCAAACAUAAAUUAUUGGAAAAUAAUAUUAACAGAUGGAUGGUAUAGCAUUCCUGCUUUUAUUGAUACAACCAUGAUGAGUUACGUAACAUCUGGAAAAAUACGCGAAGGUACAAAAUUAAUGAUAUUUGGAGCAGAGUUGUUGAAUCUUGAUCAGGCUCUCCUUUAGAAGAGAAUUCCACACGAUGUAUCAUUAAGAAUUCAUACCAAUUUAACCAGAACAACUAAAUGGGAUACUAAAUUAGGGUAUACACAUUGUCUUGGACCUAUGCUAAUUAAAUUAAAAAAUGUAUGCCCUAGUGGUGGUUUAGUUGGAAAACUUAAAGUUAUGAUUACUAGAACA